rnacentral:rRNA from 1 species
GCACAACGCGAAGAACCUUACCAGGCCUUGACAUGCAGAGAACUUUCCAGAGAUGGAUAGGUGCUUCGGGAACUCUGACACAGGUGCUGCAUGGCUGUCGUCAGCUCGUGUCGUGAGAUGUUGGGUUAAGUCCCGUAACGAGCGCAACCUUGUCCUAGUUACCAGCACGUUAUGGUGGGCACGUCUAAGGAGACUGCCGGUGACAAACCGGAGGAACGGUGGGGAUGGACGUCAAGGUCAGUCAUGGCCCUUACGGCCUGGGACUACACACGUGCUACGAUGGUCGGUACAGAGGGUUGCCAAGCCGCGAGGUGGAGCUAAUCUCACAAAACCGAUCGUAGUCCGGAUCGCAGUCUGCAACUCGACUGCGUGAAGUCGGAAUCGCUAGUAAUCGCGAAUCAGAAUGUCGCGGUGAAUACGUUCCCGGGUCUUGUACACACCGAGUCGUGGG